AUUCAUUAGAAAAUGAAAUGCUUUUCACAUACUUAAAUUCUCCAUUUUGAUGUUACUGAAGUCAAUCAGGCUGUUUCAACUUCUACGGUACGUUGGGAGGAUUACAAAUGAAGAGAACCGACAUUUGGAAUUGAGAAAAUGAGCCAUAAUUUUCAAUUCUGGUUGAGAAAAUGAAUUAAAAGUACCCAGCUGCAUGGAAAUAGGAGGAAUGUCUGCUGCUUCAAACAAAUUUCCAGCCUUCUGGAGGUUAUUCUCAGCUGAAGUCAAUGGAAAGGACAGAUACAUGAGAGCAGAGACCACUUUCUGAAGCCAUUCUGUGCAAAAGUUUGUACUAGAACUACUAGGGGAUGGAAAUCAUAAUACAGCUGAAGAGACCUUCAUUUAGACACUGGAUUUCUGGAAUCACAAAGCUUCAAAAACAUUGUGCAGCUUUUAAACUGCAAUGAGAAUUGUGGUAAAUAGUUUAAAUGUCCCAUUUCAGAACACUUUUGAGAGCUCAGAAUGACAUGAGAGCUAUCUUUAGCAAUCCCAAUCAGCUGACUUAAAUUGGUGGAAAGGUGCUGAGCUGCCACAGCUGAGGGAUGUAUCUCACAGAGCAUCUGAUGCAUUCAAGCAAGAGAUACUUGGACAGAGAAGCAUUCACAAAGAAGUGUUACCCAUUGUCUAAGGGUGUAACUGAGGAUCGUGACUUUGUAUAUCUUAAUGGCUUAUGACAGCUCUGGACAAUUGUGAUGUGUGGUAUAAUAUAUUCUGCUUCAAAUGCAGUCAUGCCUCAGAAGCAUCAAAGUAAUUAUUAUAGGUGUGGAACCAGUUUAAUUUUUGGCAGAGUUGUUUUAAAUUUACUUAUCUUGUGCUUAGUAACCACGUGUCUGUGAAACUCUGAAAGAACCUACCUCUACAAACGUGUUUAUAUGAAAAUACUUCACCUGCUUGGCACAUACAGGCUACUUGGGUUUCACUUAAGUGAGUGACAGUAUGCAUUUAGGUUGGGGAAUUCACAGGUGGUGCAAUGUCCAUCCUGGAACCUGUGCUUUAAGUGUGCAUGUGUGAAUUUCCAGUGUUUUGAACCAAUGUUAAUUUCACACCUGGGCUGGGGACGGAUAGGGGCAGUGCUGCUUAAGCAGUUCCUAAUUUUUAUUUAUUUAUUUUUUAAGUCCAAUCAAGUAAGAAUUUGGAACUGUCAGACCCUGAAGGAGCCAGGGAAACAGGGAUAAGCCAUAGUGCUGAGCCCAGACAAAAAUCAGCUGAAUCAAAAUCAAGAACAGCUUCAACAGUUAAUCUUCUAAACACUGUGCUUUAUUAAGAACUCAUAAAUUGCCAGACAUUACUUUUUACAUUCUUACUGAUGUAAGAUGUUGGCUAGCAAUAAGUUGCUACAGUAUUCCAAAACAAGCCUAAACCACAUAAGUUAUCAUAAUAUAUAUAUUCUCACCUGCUCUAUAUACUUAUCUUGCUUUACAUGCCCACAGAAGAUAAUAGUAUUAAGCAGUAAUUCUCUUGAGAGGCAGUUACAUUAGUUUUCUAGUAAUGACUAUUUAAGAAUUGAUUCGUGUUACCUAUGUAUAAAGUGUUCAGGAAUCAUUUGUUGCUUGGAGUCAGCCUGAGUCUUGAUUCUGGCCUGUUGUUCUCUCUUGGGGGACAGACAUUCUUCCUAGUUGACUGUAGGAGCAUGCAGAGUUAUCCCGAAGGAUGCCAAUAAAUGUUACACAUAAAAAGAUAUGUGCAGUAACAGAUGCUGGUGGUACAGUGCCUUAGGUGGGUGGAUUCUAGUUCACUUUUCUGUUACACAGUCAUAAUUUGUGCUACUGCUUUUGUACUGUUGUGUUGCAAGCCUCACUGGUCCAGGACUUAUUGAGAAUGGGUGAUCUUUGUAGGAUACAGAGGUCUAAGGUAACAGAAAUCUGAAUAGUUUUUCAGAGCUUAGCAGGAGGUGGGCUGCCCUGUGUUUUAGGUGGGCAUCUUUCCCUUCAAAGCGGAGCAUCAGUUUUUGCAGGGUGCCUCAUACAGAGCAGGCAGUGAAGCUGCAGCUGCGCGCUCUGUCUCAAAUAGGGCAUUCCUUAGUGGGGAUGAACAGCUGCUGUUUCUGAGGAGCUUUCCUAAGCAGUGUCUUAAUUCUGUCUUUGAUGUCCAGAGAAGAACACUGCUUUUGCCUUAUAGGAUUCUCUGGAGAAAAUAAUAAUCUAAUAGCCAUAAUUAAGGGUCUGUCACACGAGAGACUGAGAGGAGUAAGAGACUGAUCGUUAUUCAUUGCUGUGUUUAUAGAAGAGCUUACGGCUUAUACAGCUCUCACUGGAGAUGAACUGAAAGCUGUCACUCUGGGGACUGUUUUUGCACUACCUAAAGGUGAAUUGCUGGAUGUUGUUUAUUUUGACUUUCGCCAAAUCUGUUGUAAAGAAGGCUCAGAAACCAAAGGUGGAUGUUUUUCUUGAGUAAGAAUGAAUACCAUUAAAAUUAGCGUGCAUUUUGUCGAAUGAGGGUGGUGAAACUAGUCCAGAAUGGAUGUGUUUAGAAAAAAAAAUUAUUAUUUUAAAAGUUGUGUGAUUAAGUGAGAGAAAAUGGAAUAUGUGGUGAGCUCGUUGCUUUAAAAAUAGAGCUGUCCCUCAAAGCUACAGACAUGUUCUUUCCAUGUUAAACUUUUCAUCAUUUCCCUGUGAGAGUGUCUCAGGAAGGAAUGGACUUGGACCAGGUCAGGAGGAGAGCACAGCACAUAUACUUGGCUCUGGAUUCUGGUGAGUCCUUCAAGGUAAGAAGACAUACUAGAGAUGUCAUGUAUGCAUGCUAUUGCUUGCAUGUUUCUGGGUGGCAGAAAUGCUACAACCUCCGAUGUGUCUAGCUCCCUCAUGGCACCAAGAUAGGGAAUACCAAAGCACUGAGCAGCAGAGAAAAGGUAAAAAUCAUUGGCUGGGGGUGGGAGUGACAAAACUGGGCUUCUCAAUUGUGCUUUGGAGUGUGAGGUAAUAAUGCUAGUGUGAACUGGUGGUAGAGUAAUAGAUUUUUCAGGUGCAGAUUAAGAUAUCAAGCCUUUCAGAAAGGUGUAUUUGUCUCAGUAUGUUCGGGGGAUCGAGAUGGAAGUGACUGAGUAAAAACACGAUGUAGGAGGUCAGACCAGAAUGUCUUUAUGGUUCCAUCAGCUCUUAAUGUUUUAAGAAAGUUAAACUGAAACCUUUCUUUGCUGGGGUUUGAAUAGCACAUCUCUGUAGAGCUGUAAAUAUCUCAAGCUCAAGGGGCUUUAAAGUUUUAAAGAGACUGCAAUGUUUGUGUCAACUCGUGUUUUACAUUAGAGGACAGCUGCCCUUAUAAUCCUUGGUUGUGUAAUGGAGAAGCCAAAUAGUGGACGUGAGCAGUUAAAAAAGGCAUGUGCAGUGGAUGAAAAGGAGAUCCAACGAAUAUUAAAAACCAUCAAGCUGUCACUGAAGGACAGUAACGUCUUUUGGCUUUCUUCCAGAACGUGCAAUCACUGCCCUUGUGUAAAUCCUACAUAAGUGAGGGUCUGAGGGAGCAGGGAGUAAAUCCUUCCCAAUGAACCUGGACAAAGGUAAGUGUGAUACUGACAAUGUGGUCACCUUGUCCAUCUGAAGCUUUUGUUCCAUCCCUGAUGAAAUUUGAACAGAACAGGAAAGUAAGAAAUAAAAACUAGAAAUGAAGAAGAAAAUCCAGAAAAACUUUUUCUCCUGUCCUUUCUCCUCCUCCAUUAAGACUCAUGUGGGAUGUGUGUAAGCUGAGGAAAUGUAAACAGAAGUGGUCCCUGAUGAGUGAUAACCACUACUGCAAUGCUAUAAGGUGCAGUAGGAUUAAGGGCCUUUGCUGCAAUUCCCUGGGAUGAAGUAAUGUCACUUCUUUCUGAAUACAAAUAUUUGAUGAAGUUUGUCCUGUGGAGCAAUAGUUUGUUAGAACAGAAGACUCAAAUGACACUGUUGAACUUUAGGCUAUUUUAAUGUGUUUUUAGGCAGAAGUUUCAAUCAGUAAAAUUGUUUAUUUUGACUUUCUGUAUGGAGAAAUAGAGCAUUUCAAUCCAGUAGAUCAUGUUAAAGAAAAAAAUUACCCAAACCAAAAUUCUUCUGACAUUUUGUUUGUGGAAACGUGAAGUUGCUUGGGCAUUUGUAGUGUUUUGAGAUUACCUCCUCACCUACACAGAACACUUUGUUACUUCCCAGUUCUGCCUUACAGGUUCAUGGUUUGGCGUGGUCCACAGUUGUCACAAGAAUCAGCUGAAGACCACAGCAAUAUAUCUUUGUGGUUUACUAUCAUAUUCUAAAUACUAAACAGACAAAUAUUCUCAGAGAGGUUUGACAGCUGACCUGCAGACCGUACACAGCAUUUGCUUGUCUUUAAGCUAUUGGUAUUUCUAUGAAGAUAUAGUUCAUAAUUAUUAUUUUUACUGAUGUUCAAUUGAUGUCUUAUUAAAUAUAAAUCAUGUUUGGGAAUAAUAAUUUAAUGGGACGAGUCAGAUGAGAAUCCUCCUGAUAGUUUAUAAUGAAGCUUCACGUUAUCGAUAAUUCUAAGCUCAUAAAUUAUUAAGGAUGGAAAAAAAAAUGCAACUGUUCUAAAAUAAGCUAUGAAAAUGUGAAGUGGUGGUGAACAGACACAGCGUGCUGGGACUGCUGCGUGACAACGUGUGUUUGGCACUAAGUCAUGUAAGUCAGAACCACUUCAACAUCUCCUGCUCUUACCAAAACAUUUCAUAUUUAAGCAGGUAUCUUCCCCUUGUAUCCCAUUAUUAUGCUGCACCAUUCUGUUCACAGACAUUUUGCAUUGCCUGGGAAAACUGUUAAUUUAAUACACUGAGCUGACCCCGGAGGCACUGAAACGACAUGGCAGCAGCAGUCUGGAGUGCUGCAGUAUAUCCUGCUGUUAACAGCUGGGGAUACUGUGCACUUUUCUAGACAGUUGUCUGAGAGCUCUUUAGGGACAAGUGAGGAAGCUGGCUGUUUGACCACACUGUCAAGGAGGGUACAUCCUGUCCCUUAGCAUCUUUCCUCUUUUCCAUGGAAGACAGAUUUCCCAGUCGCUCCUCUGAUCUUCUCGAAGAGUUGGCAACAAAACCAUUGGUCUCCUUCCUACAAGAAAGAAAGAAAGGAGUAAAAACCCUCAGGUAAGAAAAGAAGGAAUAUACGGAAGCAGAAAAUUCUGUUUGAAACAGUUCUUUUCUUAGGAGAAAAGAGGUGAUAUAUCAUGGAAUAAGUGGUACUGCCUGGUGGAAAAACCCUUUCAAAAUGUCUUUGUUUUUCUUUACCAACGUACACUUAUUUUUACUUAAUAUUUAACUUAAAAGCUCUGGUUUGGGUUUUUUGUUUUGUUUUAUUGGAUCUCCAGCAUCCAGUGAAGUACUUCAGAGAUCCAAAACAACCAUUCCUUGAGUAACAUCAAAGCUAUCCCAGCCUGUAAAGACGGACCAAAGUCCAGGGAAGUAUUCGAUAUCUCUAUUUUCUACUCAGUCAGAAUUGUAGAAAUUCAGCAUUUCUUAAAAUGCUGCUGUUAAUUUAAGGAAGUCACACAGCAGGUCGGUGCAUGUGAAGAAGAUUAAUAGUGAAAAUUAACCUCCCAGUAUUUCUGUUAGUGGAAGUCAGGGAUGCACAGAAUUCUGAAAAUAUGGCCUCCCUGCCAUAGUGGCACACAGAAGUAGUGGUGACACAAGCAUUCAGAUAUGGAUUUUGAAAAAAUAAAAGUUCAAUUAAUUUUUUUAGCACAUGAACAGGGAGGUGGCUUUGUCAAUGGCUUACAUCUUCACCGAAAACUCUAUUCCAGGGAUUUGAUGAAUACUGGAUGGCUGAAGGAUUGCAAGCUAGAAAUUGGGCUCAAUAUAAUGUUCAGGGAAAAAAAACCACACAAAAACCAACAAAAAAUAUGCUGCUUUUCUGAUGAAAGCCUUGGUUGCUAGGAAGAGUGUAUUCAAGUGUUUGCUUAUGUUUUGUUGGGAUUCUCAUCAGUGUGGCGUAAAUGGCUAACACUCUGCCCUUUAAAUAAUGUUUUCUUAAGUAGUGAAACUAUAACUCAAUGAAGAAAUUGCACUAAUCACCUUUUCUCAAAAGCUGAGAAUUAUGACCUCUCUGUAAUUAAAAUGGUAUCUUUCAAACAUUAAUCUACGGGCUAAUGCAUUUUUAAUAUAUUUUCCUAGUUACAGAUUUUUGAAAUCAACUUGAUUUUGAAAAGAGAAAAUGCUGAUCCCACACAUGCAGAAAGUGUAUCGACCCCAUUGGACCCAUUCUUUUUUUUUUUUCCCUGAUGUCCAGUGCGAUCUGGUGGAAGUGUUGGCAGUUCCUGUCCAAACAGUUGCUGAUGCUUUUCAGGGAGGGGGAUAUAUUAAGCAAUUGCUUGAGUCAGGAAAUGCCUGUUGUCCCUCAUCUGCCUCCCACAGGUAGGACUUGGAAGAAGGCCCUGGCCUGCCCUCAUCUCGACACUGUUUGCACACUGCUCAGCUUACUCAUGACCAUUCUGUCAGCACGGUAAGAAACCCUUCCAUGCGCUGUUUGCUGCCAUGGCUGUAGGAGCACUAUGAAAGACAAAUAAAUGCCACUGUCUAAUUUCAGAAUAAGAGAAGUCUUGAGGCUACUUUCACUCUUGGGGCUUGUCUUUUUGCUGUCAAAUAUGUUUCUUGUUCUGCACGAAAAUAAAAUAUAAAUGACUUCAAACACAGCUCCUUCUUCUGAGGCUGUUAUGCAGACAAAGGUGGGUUUGUAAUUGCGAGAAUAUAUCUGUCUAUGUAAGAACUGAAAGGUUCAAAUAGGCAUUUAGGCUGUUUGGUCCUGUAUGUACCUCUGGUGUGUGCAACAUAAAACUGGGAACAGGGAAUGUAGCGAACAUCCUGCAGUCUCCAGAGGCACCUAGGAAUUUCUGGUUGAGUGUUUGCCCUUGUCUCCUUUUCUGUUAUGGCGUAUCUGUCAUUUGGAGUUACAGAUACUGAGGUGAAGUAGAGAAGAACACAGUAUUUGGUAAUCAAAACGAAGGGAGAAACAAAAGAAGAGGCCAGCAAUGCAAGGCAGUUAUUAAGAGGUAAGUUACAUAAUUUGCCGAAGGUGUACCUUCUAAGUUAGACAGAGGCUGCAUUCUACCUUAGUGCAGCAAUAUUCCCUUAGUGACUCCAGUACAGUCUUGGUAGCUUUUGGCUAACAAAUAUGGAGAAUUUCCUGUUUGUGAUAUGAACUAUGCUUAAGCAAUAAAACCAAACAACAUAGUGAAUUAGUAACCCUUGAGUGUGGUCAGAAUUCCUGUAGGGCUGGGAUUGGCAGUAUCUAAGGGUUGGAGCUGUUUGCAUUAGAUCUACGGCUUGCUUGUGAAGCUAGCAUUGUAGGUCUGUCACAGCCAGAUGUGGAAAGCUCAACAGCAGACUGAGCUCAGUAACAAAUACUACAGCUCAAGGAUCACAUGUCUCAGUUCAUGGUGAUGUUAAUGGAAAAGUACCUAUUGACUUCCUUUGGAGUUUGAGCUGCCUGUGAAAGGAAGCAUGUUAAGAAUUUAACCCAGAGCUUGUUGCCCACCUUUAUUUUCCCAUCUUGCUCAGCCUCAUUCAAUUAAUUACCAACAUAAUUUAAUUUAAAGCUAUAAUAUAUUCCAAUUCAAUUCUACUGCAGUACAGCUGUAUUUCAAAUGCUGUGUUUAGUUCAAAAUACUAAGUGGAAAUAGAGAAAUAAAAUGUCAAACAAUAAAGUGGCAACCUUCUAAAGGGGAAUGUCAUUUCAAUUAAAUUUUCAGAGGGGUGAAUGCAAAGUUGGGUAUUUUCUGUAUCAUAGUAGCUUGUCAAUGAAAGCAUGCAUGUCUUAAUGUUUCUUGACUAGCUUUUGUUAGUGCAACAGGAGUCCCAGAAUUUGGCAGGACAGUUACUCAUCUGUAGAGAUGAUAGUCUUGUAGAAUAAGCACUCUGUAGAAAUUUGCCCCAAGUCCAAAGAAAACGAUGUUUGCCUGGGAACCUUGGCAUCUUGAUUCUUAGCCAGCACAAUUUACCAUUGAAACCAGGCUAAAUGUGCCUCUUUCUUUAGUAUCUCCUUGAAGGAAAGAGGCGUAUGUAUGUUUGUGUGCAUGCAAACCUGUGCAUCUGGCAACCUCACACCUUGCUGAAGGCAGACCUGUGGUGGGAAGCUACAUCGUGGCUGUGGUUUUCAUGAGGAGGUUAUUUUCUUGCUGCAACAGUUGUAUACAACCUGAACAUUAUUCUCUUUCGUGGUCUUGGAUCAACUCUAUCUCUGGUUGAGUUUAGAAUCCCCAAAUGACUGUGAUAGGUACACGAUUUUAAAGCUAUAUUAAUGUCAUUUCUUAGGUGUCUUUGCCACUCUUCAACAUCAGCCUGUUGUGAAUCAUGCAGAGAAGGAACAGAAUCCACCACAGCCUGUGAGUAGCACGAAAUUUCAACUGGAUGACUGUGUAAGGUUUGUGAGACUGCCAGUAAUUUUUUUUUAUAUUCAGAGUUAAAUAGAGCAAUAAGAUGGAAUUUAAGCUUUAGUGCAAUGGAUCGAGGCUCUUCAGUCAAUCAAAUUAUAGUUCAAUCAGUUCAUUUUAAUCACUUCUCUGGAGAGAAGUAAACCCCUGUGUUGAAGAAUAUGCAGCCAUUUUAUUGACGGAAAGUUUAAUUGUUUUCAUUUUUCCUUACUGUCUGUAACACACUAGACUUUUAAUCAGUGGGAACUGAAGUUAUAAUGAAGUAAAGUCCACUUUCCACAGUUCACAACUAGCUGAAAAUAAUUGGGUUGAGACUCCCAUCCAGACAGUGUAAUGCCUCUGGCAUUUUCCUGAAAACUACACUUAAUUGCUUUGCUGAUGUUGUUAAGUGGUCCUGAGGGGGAUGAAGUAGUAAAGCUGCCCACAUAUGCAGAGAAACAAUACACAAAAAAAAUGUCUUACAAGGUCCUUAAAGGAGGACCAACUGGUGACUGAAAGAAAAUAUACGGCCCUUCUUCUUCCUUUUCUACACCAGAGAGAACAUAGGCUGAUAAACUAAACCAUGGAAAUUCUAUGCAUGCUAACAGUAUUUUUACUUAGAAAGCUUGGGACUUCAAGUACAGAAAACAACAAGUGAACUGCAGGUUCGAUUGCAAUUGUUGGUGUUUUUACACUGAAUGCCAGUUAGCGUGCUGCCUGUCUUCAGCACCUCGAGUUGAGCUACAGUCCUCAUGUCCCUACAGGGGGAGGGCAGCUUGCUUGCUGUGCUCCGGUGUGCUUGGAUGUGGGCCAGCUAUGAGCUGCCAGCCUUGUCCAGGCAUCAGUGGGACCAGCAAGGGUACUGGAUUAGACUCUGAAAAUGGCCAGAGAAAGAAUAAUGCUUUGGAAAUUUUCCUAAUUUAGUGCAGUCACGGGGAAACACUCCUCAGCUGAUUGGUGUUUGAGACCCAAAAUGAUGAAUGAACUGCUAGACUCAGGCACAUCCCCGUGGAGGAGUAUGUUACUAUUUAAUAGAGAAAAAUACUUAUUUAGGACAAGCAAAUUAAGUGGUGGGAAAAGGGAGUUCAAUUGCACUAAUUUUGUUUUAUGCAGAUGCUUGGUUUUUUUUAAAUGAAUUGUUUGUUUAUUUAUAUAUGCUGGCACAGCAGUCUGUCAACAGCCUGGCCUUCUCAGCUGGUGUCUGUGUAAAUUUCAGUAUGGCCUUUGCUUAUUUUAUAGUUGCUCUGAUAGGCUCUGAGCUGAGCAACUGCCCCCCUGAGAAUGUAAACAAAAUUGGGCAGUGGUUUCUAAAGCAAAAAUCUCAAUUACCCCUUCUACACCCACAUAUGAGUUAGAGGGGUGAGGGAUUCCUUGUCAGCCUCCAAGUUGGUGCUUAAGAUUCUGGCCUGCAAAGCACCCGGGAACCUUUUUGCACUGAGAGAUCCUCAGGUCCUGAGAGGACUGGAAUACUUCAGUAUCUAGCCCUGUCUUAACCUGACUGAGCUCCACAAUAGGCUUUAAUACCUAGUUUUCCUAUAACAGAAUAGCAACCCUGCAUAUACUGUGUGUGAAACCGCAAGCCAUAUGCCAAGGAUCUCAAGCUGUCAUUUUGGAGACUAGCCCUGGGAAUAGCCUGUUGUGUCUAAUUGAGUCUCUUUGCCUGCCUCUGGGAGAACAGCUCAAUAGCAGCAGCAGUUCUGCUCUGCUGUUUGUGGGGUCUCAUGGUGAGGUGAGGAACAGGGUAUGCAAUGGUUGUAGCAAAUGAGGCCUACGUUUUGAAAAGCCAGAAGACUUACCUUGGUUCUUGCAGUCCUUUAGAAUCAGUAAGAAUACAAAACCCCGAGCUAAGUCUUCAUUUGCCUGUUUCUCUAACUGCUCACAUGGAAAGAUGUGAUUUUCAUGGUUGUCAUCAAAGCCAGUGUAGUCAGUUGUGGAAACAUGUCAGAUACCAUAUGUCAGUAAUAUGCCUUUGAAAUGUUGGUGUCUGAAUAAUUUUUUGACUAGCUGAAUGGCAUAUGUUUAAAUGUAAACAGCUGUUCUGUGUUUGUACUGUCUGUAUUCUCUACUUUUUUUUUUCAAAGAGGAAAAAAACUGACUGAAACCCAGGAAAAUCUUGGGAUUCAUCCAUUUUUAAGGAAUUACAGCUUUUGUGUUAUUUCAUUGUGUGGCCCAUAUGUUCUCUCUUAAUCCACGAGGAAGGCAUUUAAAAGAACAUUUUGAUCUUGCUAUAACCAAAACAAACACAUGGUUCCAGGUUAGGUAAAAUGUGAUUUGACUAUAAGUGUUAAGUGAAAAGAUUGUGUUGGUGUUGGGCAGGUUCUGUUAUGUAUAGAUUUGCAUCUAAGUCGUCCAUGUAAGAGUAGUGCAUUCAACAAUGGUGACAAUAAGUAAGUUGGUUUUAUCCAGAAACUCUUCUGAUGCAGUUAAAGAACUUGCAGUGUAAUUAAUGACUUAAUAAAGAAAUGAAAUAAUGUGUUUGUUAGGCUAUUUAUUAUACAUGGAUGAAGCUGAAGAACUAUUGUCACAACAAAGGGAUCCAAAAGCAGUUAUUACAACUCAUCAAUCAAAUAAGCCACUGGAGUACCAUUCACGGUGCUAUAACCAGCCUAAAAGGCACAGUUUGAUCCGAAGUAAUGAACAGUUUCUUACCAUUACGGGAGAAUGACGAGAGACGUUAUGAACCAAGAGGGAAUACCUGGAGAGCGUAGAGCUGAGUCUCCUAAUGCUGAAGUGGAAGGGAGCUUAUAAAAAUGUUACAAAAGGAAUGACAGUGUUGACUAUGGACUUAUCAGCAUCAUGACAGGAAGAGGCUAUUGAAAGAAGCAACCACAUCAGAAAAUUGCAUACUUCUUUGGUAAAUGCUUUGUUUAAGCACAUGAUCAUGCUCUUACGAGUGCCUUGUGAACACCAUUUUUUGCCUCCUGGUAGCAGCAAGUGACAAAUGUCAACUCUUGGUGUACUUACCACAGGCUCGUCCUAGUAUGCCAUCUGCGUGGUUUGGCCCAUGCCCAAAGAAAAACAAUAACCACACCAUCACCUAUCAGAAAAUAAAAUUUGACCUAAAGUCAUCACAAAGCUUUCGACAGGCAUUAUGGCAACACAGAAUCAUAGCUUUUCAUGGGCAUAGCUUAAGGAAAAAAAAAAAACCAAUACCAAAUACCACCAGCAACAAAUAAAAGCAGCAGGGCACCACAUGGCACCUUCAGAUAUUAAAUAAAACCAAGAAACAAAGAAAAAAAAAAGGAACAAAAACUAACCAAGCCACAAAACCCACACCUCUGCCACAGUAACUGCAAAUGUUCUCAGAACGGACGGGAGAUGAUCUUUGACAUUCAUCCAGUGUAAUUUUACUACUUAAAUGGGUACAUUCUCAGAGAUUAUUGCUCGGCUGGAAAGAAAUUAGGUACAAUUCUGAAGUGCAGUUGUUAGGAGUUUGUUUUAUAUGUUUGUUGUUAAGGCACUGAAUCAUGUUACAGUCUCUUUGUAGGUAGCAGAAAUGCUGUGAUUUCAAACAUCCAAAAUUUCCCAUUACACACAAGGAUCUUAAUUAACACUAAAUGGGGAAUUCAUAUUUUAUGUUUAGUUGAUUAUAAUCUAAAGAUUUAUAUGAAUGAAUAUUUGAUUUAUAUGAAUAUGAAGAUUUAAAAACCCUAUUUUUAUAGCUUGAUUACUAUAAAACUCACUCCAGCUUUAUCAGUGUGCUUCUUAGGUUUUGUUGUAGUUGUUCCAAAUUAAGCAUUAUCUUACAUGAGGAGUAAGCUGCAUUGUUAGUCUCAAAUCCAUUUUACAAAUAGUUACAAUUGCAUCUUAAGAAGGUAAAGAAUAUUUUUGUAGGUGUCUCCACUUUUCAGUACUGUGUAUAUCCUUCUGUAUGCUUGCUAAUCUCUACCUUAGCUAUCAUCUGUUUUGUCUUGCUCUCAAAAAGAAAUUUGCUUUUUUUUUUUACUAAGAAUUAGGUUUUUUUUCCCCUCACCCCCUUUCUACCCCACUGGCUGCUUUCAAGUUUUCUUUUAGGAGGGGCUUCACUUUGUGUUAUCCUUACAUAUAAAAAUUCCCAGUAAGUAUUUUCAGAGAUCUGUGAGGUCAUAUUAGCCUGGAUUCCCUUCAUGCUUCUCUGGUGGAGGUAUAUUUGUUAUUUUGUCACCUAUCGGAGGCCCUGAUAUAGCUGCAGGUGACUGGGAAGGGACAUCCUUCCUUUGUAGCAGUAAAAUACUCACAGCCUCCUUUAUCACAGAACGUGCACCCUGCAACAGCCUCUAAGGGAAUGAAAGCAGAAAAAUGCUGCAGCUGCCAUGAAGAGGCAAAAAUUGAAACUAGCUCCAGAUUUAAAUUUCAGAGAGAUUCAAACAUCAGCAUUCUCAGCACUACCUUUUCAAAAAUACAACGCAGGUAAGAGCUCACAUUUCAAAAAGUUCAAGUGUUUUUCAGUUUAGAGUUUGGGCUCCAGCCUUCUGAGAGACCUUGGCUUUGUAACAUCCCAAAAUAUAGUUCAGUCAAAAAUAACAUUCUCCUAAUGGAAAGUUUUCUCCCAUUUCUUCACUUGAUAAAGCUGGUCAAAACAAGCCCUAUUUUGCCUACAGGAUUCAUUACUGUGUUAUAGCUCUUUAUAUUAGACUAGGUUUUCAAGGUAGCCCUUGGAGAGACUGUAUUUCUACUUUGUAAUGAUUUUACCAUAGGAAAAGUUUAUCUAGAAAGAUGCCUGGAAAACAGUGAGGCCACCAGGGAUUUUUUUUUUUUUUUUUUUAAGAAUCUAACUCCCCCUUAUAGAGUAAUCAGAGGGAUGUGUUAAGCUUGCUGCAUUCUCUUUCAAUCUUUUGUUGGAGUAUUGCAUUAUCAAGUUGCUUGCACUGUGAGAGGUUCAAGCAGUUGGGUUAGUGCAAAGCACAGUGACCAAGCACAAUGAAUGCAAGUCAGAAAUAAAACUAGGUUUUGGAGUGCAGAGCGACUGAUCUCUCACUUUGUCACUCAAGCAGAUGUUGCCAAAGGUGAGGAGCAAUUUUUUUUUCUUGAAUUUAACUUGGCUGCCAAAUCAUGUACCACCUGAAUAGCCAGACACUGCACAGCUACUGGUUAGAUGCUUUUCAAACCUGUUUUCUGCCUCAGGGCUAUCAGAUGUGCAGCUGAGGUAAAGAUUUUUCCAUUGUCAUUCUCCUUAACUUGAGGACAUACUGCUCACUGCAGUAAGUAAAUGGUUGGGCUGCUUUAGAUCAUGAGAGGGCUUAUUUAAUUUAGGUGUUUAACAGUAUUAUUCCCCUCUUUCCUCUAUUUUUAAGGGGAGUUCUGCCCAGUAUAGGAACAAGCUACUAAUGAGCAGAGGAGAACUUCAUCCCAGAAGAUAGUUAUUAGAAAUCAAGGUGGAGGUAAAUGUAGCUUGAAAGAUCCAACCAAAACUGUCUGCCAAACAUACUGCUUUUUGAUAAUUGUGGCCUUCCAUAUACUCCAGCUACCUUUUAAUCAGUGGGAAUUUGUUUACAGGAGAAUUCUGAGAUCUGGUAACUUUCCUAUCCCUUUUCCAGGCUAUCUGUUUACCUUCUGGUAUCUCAGAAGCAUUCAGCAAAUAAGUCUCCAGAAAGACUGUUUGAGAACAGCUCCUACACAAGACUGUAACAAUAUAAGGAGGUGCACUUCAGAGUAGAAAUAUGAACCCUAAUAAUAGGUUUUUACUUAACAAUAUAAUCUCAUUUUAGAAUUCUUGGGUUUGCCUCCUUCCAAAACAGCUGUGCUGUCUUGAUAAGAUUUUUAGGUUAUAAACAAGCAAAUAAAUAUCAGAAAUUGGACUUGUACAUGAAUAGGACCUAACAUUAUUAUUUCCACUUCCUUCCCUUCCCCCCCCCCAACCCCCCCAAGUAUUUUCAUAGUCACACAUUUUCCUGUAAAGUGUAACCAUUACUGACCCCAUUACUAACAAAUCUCUCAGAAAACCCCACUUAAUAGGGAGAAACAUGAAAACCUCAAGAAACAAAAGGUAUCUGAUUUCCAAACAGAAUGCCUAUUUAAGACCAAACCUCAUUAGGGACAAGUCCUCCAGGCAAACAUCCUCUCAUUAUUUAUUGUCAUGGUUUACUGCAGAUUCCUCCGUGUAAUUCACAGUUGGCUUUUAAAUAAAUCUCUCUGUAUGGUAAAUGUGAUAUUCCUUCAUUUAAGCAGCAGGGUUAUCUUAAAACUGAGCAAGACCAAAAUUUCAUAUUUCAAAACUCAUAAACAGCUUAGAGCAUGACAGUAAUGCAAUGACGAGAAGAAAAAGUAUGACUGACAACAUAUGGUUGAAGAGUUUGGUAGCAGUGGUUAUACAAUGUAAUUCAUUUCAUGAUAAUAUAAGUCAGACUGCAAAGCAAAAGCAAUUAGGAAAUAAGUGAUGAUAAUGAAGAAUUACUCAUGGUGAGGAACUUCUCUAUAGUGGAAGGAUGGUUCUGUGUUCUAAUCAACAGUUAAGGCCUUAAAGCCCUGGAUUUAAAGCUCAGUAUCCUAUCCUUGGUCCUGAUUUUUAGAGGGUCAGUUGGGCCCAAGAGUAUGAAAAGUUCUGAGGUACUCUCAUCUGUUGGUGAAAUUGGUCCACAACUCCUACAGCUCAAGUGAGCAUCUGGAAAUGGGCAGGAGACAGCUGGAAGCUGGAAAGCUUCUCUUUCUCCUAAGGCAUACUGUGGUUUCCUUGCUUAUCUUAUCCAGGAGAUGGAAGUCUGGGAGAUCUCCCUACAUACUUUAAUCACAUCAAAGGGUUAACUAUGAUUUUGCCUAAGAUGAAAAGUGCUUGACCAUGAAUUCCAAUUCUUAUUGCAAUAAGAUGCUGAGAAUGGUUAAAGGAGCCCGGAGUACCUCCAUAAUUUGCAUCUCUGAUUAGAACAGGGUGAAGUUCUCUUCAAGGAGAAAGUCCUCUGGUGUGAUCCAUUUUUCUCCUGUAGCUAAAAAUUCUUGGGCUGAUUCAGCACCUGGGCUGAUGAGUUGGCCCCUGGAAGCACUCACCAUGGUUGCUCUUGAGGAAGCUGGAGGGGCAGCGCAGCGGAAAGUUUCUCUCCUCACCAGAGGACAUGCACGCAGCCCAGUGCUUGCCAGGACAAUGCCUCCUCCAUCCCUUUCUUGGCUCAGAGCACAGCGUCUACCACUACUCAUAAAAAAUACUGUCUCUUAAAUUUCAUAUUUACCACUUUGCGUAACAGAUUUUCCUAAACAAACAGAAAGCUGAUCAGGAUAAAUACCAGAAUAAGUGAAAACAGUUGUUUUUAAUCUCAGUGUGUUGAAUGCAGAUAUUGGCGUGAACAGAUUGCCUUUUUUAGUACACCUAUUAUAGUGUCACACCCAUUCUUUGCUGAAUGCAUACCUAUGAGACAGUGUGUGUGUGUGUGUGUGUGUGUAAUAAAACCCCUGGAUUAUUAAGCAUUUUUUCUAUUCUGCUAUGUCAGUCCAAAUUCACUUUGAAUACAAGAAUGAUGGAAUUGUUCAAUAUAUUGUGUGCAGAAGGUUACGACCUCUGCAGUCAGCCCCUGAAACACCACUGCUGUCUUCUUACUUCUGGGGUAGCUGAAAUGAAUUACAAGGCAGAGUCAUAAAGCCAGAACAUUUUACUAAAGCUAAGACCUCUGAAUAUGCAGUAUUUAAGCAUUUUUGUCCUCUCUCUCGUUCCCAAAUUACUUAAAAUCUGUGUAAGAUUUCAAAGAUGAAAACCAAGCAUACUGUUUUCACUUUUUAUCUUGUUUUUGAACAAGGUUUCAAUUCAACAACAGCUCAAAUGGGUGAAUAGCCUUUUGCAUGUAAUAAAAAUACCACAAUUUCUUCAUCCUUUUGUGUACACGCAUGGAAAGAGACAUCUUAAAAUUGUUAUCAUACAUAUCAUCAAGUAGAAAGACUUGGGUAUGAUUGGUUUGAAUGCUGUGGAGGAUAUACCACACUGAGCCACUCUUGUAACCCAGCCCAAAGGAUGGGUGAAUGCUUAUUGUUUGAAGGGGACAGAAGGAAUACUGUCAGUGAAAAUCAAAGACAAAAGUAAAACUGCCUUCCUCUGCACGUGAAGACAGUUCUUGUUAGUGCACAGACUGACCCAGACAAAUUGGAACACCUAGUGGAAAGUUAUCAUCUCCCCUCUGCAUUUCCACAUUAAUUGAACAUAGGCAAGAGCUCCAAACAAUCAGUUACUUUUCUUCCACACACACAGCAUCAGAAGGACACUCAAAAGAUAACCGACAAGCUAAAAUUCAAGUUACUGAAAUUUAUGAUUGCUGGCUGUUAUUCAGUAAAGUAUUUUAACACCAAAAUUUUAAUAAAGCUGCCGUAAAUAUUCCGUGCCCAUGGUGCCAAGGUUCAGCAGAUUCCUCUGUUAACACAACAGGUCUAACCGAGGGAACUUGAAGACUUCUCUGGCAAGAUCCUCUGAACAGAUGCAACUUGAAUAAUCUUUUGAAAAAUAAAGCCCUAUUUCCCCAUGCCUCAAUGGUACAAGGCCUCAAGGAAAAUGCAGACACAGCAAAAGGCCUAAAAGCCCAAUCUUAACCUCAGCACGCUCAGGGAAGAGCACUCUGCCUCCAAUUUGGGGAAGUCCAGGCUGUCCCACUCACAAAACGUUCUCUUUGUUCUCCACAGGAAUCACCUUGUACUGCUGAUAACUCACUUCUUUCCAAGGGUUUCAGGUUUAGGAUUCCCUUUGAUGCUAGAUUCACUGCUGGGAACAGUAAACUACUCUAGCUUUGAUGGAGCUGCAAUUAUUGCCUAUUGUCAGCUCUUCCGUUGUUUCCUCUAAAACUCUUAUUUAUGUCACCAUUUCAUUUUGGAUAGGUUUCCGCCUUGUUCCUUUCUGAUUUCAAUAAUGCCAUUCAGGGAAGUUAUAAAUCAGACAGCCUGAGGAGCACAUAUCAUUUUGAUAUAAGAAAUACAACAUGUCCUCAUUCUUUUUGCUAUAACAUACACGACUGAAAUCGCAUCAGCCACACCGGCGGUCCUUUGUCAGCUCUGCCUCUGCCUGUGCUGUUGCUACUGGAGUGGCAGCUGCAGUGAGAAUCACGAGAGCACAGAAGCAGUCUGGUGUGGGGCCGAGGGGUGUCCUGUUCUGCACACGUGUUGGCGCCGACAUGCCCGAGGAUUUCAGCUGCUUUGGAGCAUUUAAGUGUUACAUCGGGAGCCUAGUCUGGUAAUGGUAACCUAAGCUACAAGCAGCAGGGAGGUAUUUGUGCUGUGCUUUGCUUAGAGAAGCAUUUCGAGCCUGUGACACUGUCUGACACUGACUGAUUAAGAUACAGGUACUGCGGCGCUGUCAGGAAAGAAGAAAGAGGACUUGCAGUGCUGUUGCUGCUCACGGAUCUCCAGCAGAGCAGCAGCAAGGCACCAGCACACAGCAGCACCGUGCUCCGCCACCUCUUCUGAGAAUUACUGCCUAGCCAACCCUGAAGCGAUUCAGUAUGCACCACAUUUCCAGCACAGCCUGCCCCUCCACACAGACUCUGAAGGCUAUAUACCACGGGUGAUCAGAGCCUCAUGACAGGGGAGGGGAUUGUGAUGGAAAGAGUCAAAGGAGCUUUGAGAAGGACAAAAAUCUGAACACACUAAUGAGUUUUAUCAGGAAACCAUUAGGAAGACUGCUGCUGCAGCAAACAAGACCAGAACCUAACAGGGAGAGAAAGAGAGCUACCAAGCUAUGCUACAGAUACAGACAGGUCUUCAUUUUCUCUAUGGCUUUAAAGACUGCCAUUUUUAAAAAGGAAGCAUUCAAAUCUCUCUCUGAAACUCCUUUUUCUGGGUAUCCCCAAAGCUCACUCUACACCAUUGGUGUGAACUGUGAAAGGGAUUGCUUUGCCAGGCAAAGACAUUUAUCACUUGUGUAUUCUGUCUUGAGGAUAGGCUUUUCAGUUUUACUUAAAUUCUUGGGGCUUUCCCUGGUAGAAGAGACAGGUUCCCCUCCCCAUACCUUCUCUUGGCAAGUGAUGAAGUGUUAUUUUCUGAGGGUGAUGCUGAAGCACUCAGAAACAGUCACACAAGUUUUUAUCCAGGGUGUCCAGACUUAGGAAUGCCCUUCAGCUCAGAUCUACAUUUUCUGCCUUUUGGGAUCACCUCUCCUCCUUAUAGCUUGUGCUGGCAGGAAUACAAGCAACAAAAAGAAGUCUCAGCUGUCAUCAGAAACCUGAGAUCACUUCAGACUAUAGUUCUCAUUUGUGUGCCAAACCAGGUGCGUUUGUCGUCUUUGUGGUGCAAGUGUCCUUGUCCUCCAUGAGGCAGAGGCUGGAGGAGACUGGAAGGAUUCUGCUCUUCCUUGCACCAGGAAGGAGGCUCCUGGAAGCCCAGGAGCCUCUGUUCUCCAUUACAACUGUGCUGUUUUCAUCUUGGCUUUCUCAAUAAAUAUUUAGUGGACAAUUCACAUUUUCCCUCCUGCUCUGACUAACAGAGUUGAUUAUUGCUAGGGUCAGGUGAUUACAUGAGCUACUUAAUAUUCACAGGCAGCAGUAGGAAAUAAGUACAAACCCCAUCUCCUCAGCUUUAAUUACAAUAUCAGUGUUAUCAAAUUCCAUGUGGAUACACCUCCCAAAUCAGCUCCAAACAAUUUCAGAUGCGUAUACUAACAAGAUCCACAACAUCUUUAACUCCUGAUCUUCUGUCAUUACAAUAUAAUUACUCUAAUGCAUCUUUACUGCACAACACCCAUCGAAAAUAAGAACCGUUGAGUAUACCAUGUAAUUAUAGAAUAAAGAUGUUAAUGUAAGCUUCCAGCUUAAAGUGACUCUCAGCAUUUUUCUAGUUCCAUUAUUCAACAUUCAUUGGCAACUUGACUCCAACCUGCUCCCCUUCCUCUGUGUUUUCAUGACAUACUUAUGCAAUUCUGGCACUGCAGUGUCCCAGGUAGCAUUGAAACCCCAAUAGAAAUACUGCUUAAGAUUCAAUAAGGUGGCAAUAAAGUGGCCAAGGCUUUUUGAUUUUAGCUCUGGGGAUAGAGGUGAGAAAUAGAGAAAGGUGAGUCAGGGAAGAGACAAUGCAGUUUGCACCUUGCUGAGCUAUGGGUCAGUCUGGGCCUUGUGUAAACAUGACAGAAGAGGUUAGGAGAGAGAUGAUAGAGAACUGGUAUUGGCUAAUUAAGAUAGGGAAUAACCUUAAUUAAAUGCUGACAGAGGAAGAAACAAAAGUCAACUAGUUAGGGAGAACAGGAUAAGCUUCAGCUGGCCUUUUGGCAAGGAGAAAUGUCUGUAUUUCAGAAGACAAAGCAUAAGCCAGUGGAAUAACUGAGUCCAAGCCAUAAGGAUUACCUCUCCUAACUAUAGCUCUGCAAGCAAACAGAAAGACAAAUAAGAACUCUCUGGUGUGUUUGAUUUCCAGGAAUUGACUAAGAUAGGAAAGAACAAGAUGGAUAAUACAGAAAGUUUUGGAGAAGAAGCAUUCCUCCUCUGAAAGGUAAAGGCCCUUCUUGAGUCUGUGCCAGGUAAACCAUAAGAAAAGUGCAGCUGCUUCUUGGGGCGGUUCUUCAUCUCUGUUGAAGUUUUGAGUGGAAAUGAAAAUUAAGAGCUGCUAGGCUGAUCUUCAUCUCCAUGCUUCACCUGUCAGAUUUAUACCAUAUGCCUUUGCUGAUGUUUUGUCAUAUCUCAGUUCAGUCUGUUCGCCUGUUAACUGUUUUGUGUCCCACGUGCUUAUAAUAAGGAUCAUAAAUACCCAAUGAAAGGUACAGCCAUCACUUUCAACAGAAUAAACUAUUCUUUUCUCUCUGGAAAAGACUCAGAAAUGAAAACAAAACUACUUUAGAAUAAGUUUUUUUUUCAUUAGCAGCUAACUAGAACAUGGAAGAGGCAGUUCCUAGGGCAAACUCCUUCCUGACAGUCAUUUUGCAUCUACACCUUAAAGAGUUACCUUCAGAGACAGAUCCCAGCCAAGGAGAGAUGGGGAUAACGCAGUUUCAAGUAAGCUAGAAGCUAGCACAUAAUUCCAUUUGAACCCAGAAUUUAGCUCACUGCUUAGGGUGCAUGUAUAAAAAUAGGGGCAAUAUAUAUAGUUCAUACAGGGAAACAGAAAGAGGAUGGGAAUGGACAGGAUUUAUGGUUUCACAGGGGGUCAUUUCUAAUUUUAAGGAGAUUUGUCUGCCCUGUUUCUAGGGCAGCAGGCAGGAAGUUCCUAAAUGGAAAAGGAAAAUAUUGUUCUACUUGAACAUCACCCUGGCACUGUCAGAUGAUUCACAGGCCCUGGAGAACACAGACAUUACCAGCUCAGCACAUCUAUAUACCAAUCACCAUUUGUCAUAUGCGAGUACUUCCCACAGUCCUAAAAAAGGAUUGGUUUUGUGUAUUAUUUGCUGGAAAUGUAACAAACUUCAUACUGAACAGCAAAAUAAAAACAGUACUUGAUUGUUUUAUUGACUGUUUGCCUAUUUACUUGGGAAAACUUCACUUCAGGAUUCUUUAUGCAAUCUAAUAAAAGGACCCCCACAGCUGUCUUCUUUUUGGAGAAAAGCUGUCAACAUCCAGUAUCAUUUUCUGCAUAUUGAGUGAAGUACUUGAAAGUCCCAGUUCCAUUUUAAUGUGUGAGAAGCUCUCCCAUUUGUAUGCAGCUGGAGAGAGUAGUUUUAUCCUCAUUUACAAAAGCCACAUGAUGGAUUUCUGGCUUUAAACAAAUACUACCUCAAACUUUUCUUUCUUCCCCCCCCUCUCUCCCCCAGCAUACACCUUUCCUCUCUCAUUAGGCAUCAGUGUGCACAAAUCAGUGCACAGCAUUGACACCU
ensembl:lncRNA